AUUGAACGCUGGCGGCAGGCCUAACACAUGCCAGUCGAGCGGAUGAAGGGAGAUUGCUCCUGGCUUCAGCGGCGGACGGGUGAGUAAUGCCUAGGAAUCUGCCUGGUAGUGGGGGAUAACGUCCGGAAACGGGCGCCAAUACCGCAUACGUCCUGAGGGAGAAAGUGGGGGAUCUUCGGACCUCACGCUAUCAGAUGAGCCUAGGUCGGAUUAGCUAGUUGGUGGGGUAAAGGCCUACCAAGGCGACGAUCCGUAACUGGUCUGAGAGGAUGAUCAGCCACACUGGAACUGAGACACGGUCCAGACUCCUACGGGGGGCAGCAGUGGGGAAUAUUGGACAAUGGGCGAAAGCCUGAUCCAGCCAUGCCGCGUGUGUGAAGAAGGUCUUCGGAUUGUAAAGCACUUUAAGUUGGGAGGAAGGGCAGUAAGUUAAUACCUUGCUGUUUUGACGUUACCAACAGAAUAAGCACCGGCUAACUUCGUG
rnacentral:rRNA from 1 species